rnacentral:rRNA from 1 species
AAGACUCUCGGCAACGGAUAUCUCGGCUCUUGCAUCGAUGAAGAACGUAGCGAAAUGCGAUACUUGGUGUGAAUUGCAGAAUCCCGUGAACCAUCGAGUCUUCGAACGCAAGUUGCGCCCGAAGCCAUUAGGCUGAGGGCACGCCUGCCUGGGUGUUGCACAU